AAUUAUGUUUAGUCUGUUUAUUUUGAUGUGAAAAGUCUGUGCGAAAUUUGUAAGUCACCCCCCGCUACCACGCGAACGUCAACGUUGCUUGUUUGACAGACAAGAUUGUCUGGCCGCUGCGCACUCACACAGCCGUGCGCGCUCACUUCCGCUGAAAAGGAAAGCUCAUUCAGUGUUCGCCAACGUGAGGAGCGGUCGUGCGGUGGAAGAAGUUCCACGCAAACCGCGUGCGCAGUUGUUCUGCUCCGCGAAAAGUGCUCGCCCCGCCGUAAAGUUGUGAAGUCCCGCAGGAGGACGCCCGAGGUUCACGUCCUCGGGAAGCAUCUACCGUGACUGGCCCUCGUCGGGAAGAAAAACCGGCACCGUCCGCCGGCGAGGGCCAAAAAUGACGGACGACGAUAUUUGCACCGAAGGGACGAAUCGGCACCGGAGCCGGCCUGCUGCCUUCGAUCACUGGACGAAACACGCCGGCGCGCGCGGCAUGUUGGGAGUGAACAAUCUCCGCAAGAUCAACGCAGGCGGGGAGAAAGUUUGGACGACGGCGGAGGCACGUGGAAUCCGCUUGCUCCGCGGCGGUGCUCGUGAGUGGAAAUGUUGACCGGUCGGGCCGAGGUGAAGAAUCCCGCGCGGACGCGGGCAAAGGGCGACUCGCCACGCGGCAAUUGGCGAUCGAAGGGUGAGCAAGUGAGAGAGCAAGAGGAGGAGGCAAAGUGAGAAGAGCCGGGGAAGGAAAAAGAAGGAGGAAGAAGAAAACGGAAAAGUGCUAGAUGCCGAAAGGGCGCGUGGAGCACGAAAGAAGAAGAGAGAGAGAGCAAGAAGAAGAGCAUCAGGAAGAUGUUGUACGCACACACACACACACACUCAUACUCACACCAUCAAUCGGUUCAAUACACAUGUUAAAAGACGAAUUUUGUGCUUGUUUUUCUUAUUACUUGAGCUCAAAAAGCAGCCGGAACAGAAUUAUUGUAACAUGGCGCCCAACAAAACGAACCCAAUCAGAAAAUUUAGCUAGAUUUUGUUAAAUGUGUGUACUUUAGAGUUUGCCACAGUGACAAGCUAUGACAGCAGUGGGAGUAGGCUGUGAACAAGAAGAAAACAAAAAACGCUAGGCGGUAACAGUGAGGAAUUGAAGCCAGUUGUAGGCAAUUGGCUGUCAGGCUCAGGAGAGGUAGCCAUUGUGGGAGUUAAACUGGAGACGUUUUGGGUCAUGCAGGAGAUGACCAUCUGACCACCUGUCUGAGCAGAUUACGCUGCUGUGUAUCGUUAGUACCGUUAUGUUUCGAUCAACACGAUCUGGGGAGCCUUGGGCUUCCGCACUUUAGUAUUUUUGAGUUUGGUCUAGUUUAAGUAUGUGACGUAGGUCACGGGUCAGACGGUCUCCAGCAAGCUUCUGGCGGAAGUUGUUUUGAGAAUUUUCCGUGUGGGACUGUCAUCCCACACGGAAAAUUCUUCCCAAAUGGCAGGGUUGUAUAGCAAUUAUGUUUAGUCUGUUUAUUUUGAUGUGAAAAGUCUGUGCGAAAUUUGUAAGUCACCCCCCGCUACCACGCGAACGUCAACGUUGCUUGUUUGACAGACAAGAUUGUCUGGCCGCUGCGCACUCACACAGCCGUGCGCGCUCACUUCCGCUGAAAAGGAAAGCUCAUUCAGUGUUCGCCAACGUGAGGAGCGGUCGUGCGGUGGAAGAAGUUCCACGCAAACCGCGUGCGCAGUUGUUCUGCUCCGCGAAAAGUGCUCGCCCCGCCGUAAAGUUGUGAAGUCCCGCAGGAGGACGCCCGAGGUUCACGUCCUCGGGAAGCAUCUACCGUGACUGGCCCUCGUCGGGAAGAAAAACCGGCACCGUCCGCCGGCGAGGGCCAAAAAUGACGGACGACGAUAUUUGCACCGAAGGGACGAAUCGGCACCGGAGCCGGCCUGCUGCCUUCGAUCACUGGACGAAACACGCCGGCGCGCGCGGCAUGUUGGGAGUGAACAAUCUCCGCAAGAUCAACGCAGGCGGGGAGAAAGUUUGGACGACGGCGGAGGCACGUGGAAUCCGCUUGCUCCGCGGCGGUGCUCGUGAGUGGAAAUGUUGACCGGUCGGGCCGAGGUGAAGAAUCCCGCGCGGACGCGGGCAAAGGGCGACUCGCCACGCGGCAAUUGGCGAUCGAAGGGUGAGCAAGUGAGAGAGCAAGAGGAGGAGGCAAAGUGAGAAGAGCCGGGGAAGGAAAAAGAAGGAGGAAGAAGAAAACGGAAAAGUGCUAGAUGCCGAAAGGGCGCGUGGAGCACGAAAGA